UGGGGAAUAUUGGACAAUGGGCGAAAGCCUGAUCCAGCCAUGCCGCGUGUGUGAAGAAGGUCUUCGGAUUGUAAAGCACUUUAAGUUGGGAGGAAGGGCAGUAACCUAAUACGUUUCUGUCUUGACGUUACCGACAGAAUAAGCACCGGCUAACUCUGUGCCAGCAGCCGCGGUAAUACAGAGGGUGCAAGCGUUAAUCGGAAUUACUGGGCGUAAAGCGCGCGUAGGUGGUUUGUUAAGUUGGAUGUGAAAGCCCCGGGCUCAACCUGGGAACUGCAUCCAAAACUGGCAAGCUAGAGUACGGUAGAGGGUGGUGGAAUUUCCUGUGUAGCGGUGAAAUGCGUAGAUAUAGGAAGGAACACCAGUGGCGAAGGCGACCACCUGGACUGAUACUGACACUGAGGUGCGAAAGCGUGGGGAGCAAACAGGAUUAGAUACCCCCGUAGUCCCUGAGCGGGCUGGCAAGGCGCAU
rnacentral:rRNA from 1 species